rnacentral:rRNA from 1 species
CCUACGGGAGGCAGCAGUGAGGAAUAUUGGUCAAUGGACGAGAGUCUGAACCAGCCAAGUAGCGUGAAGGAUGACUGCCCUAUGGGUUGUAAACUUCUUUUAUAUGGGAAUAAAACGUUCCACGUGUGGGAUUUUGUAUGUACCAUAUGAAUAAGGAUCGGCUAACUCCGUGCCAGCAGCCGCGGUAAUACGGAGGAUCCGAGCGUUAUCCGGAUUUAUUGGGUUUAAAGGGAGCGUAGGUGGAUUGUUAAGUCAGUUGUGAAAGUUUGCGGCUCAACCGUAAAAUUGCAGUUGAAACUGGCAGUCUUGAGUACAGUAGAGGUGGGCGGAAUUCGUGGUGUAGCGGUGAAAUGCUUAGAUAUCAUGAAGAACUCCGAUUGCGAAGGCAGUUCACUGGACUGCAACUGACACUGAGGCUCGAAAGUGUGGGUAUCAAACAGGAUUAGAUACCCCUGUAGUC